rnacentral:tRNA from 1 species
UCUAAUAUGGCAGAAAAGUGCAUUGGAUUUAAGCUCCAAUAAUAAAGUUAAAACUUUUUUUAGAA